GGAAUAUUGGACAAUGGGCGAAAGCCUGAUCCAGCCACGCCGCGUGAGUGAUGAAGGCCUUCGGGUCGUAAAGCUCUGUGGGGAGGGACGAACCGCCGGAUGUGCAUAGCAUCCGGCAUGACGGUACCUCCUUAGCAAGCACCGGCUAACUUCGUGCCAGCAGCCGCGGUAAUACGAAGGGUGCAAACGUUGCUCGGAAUUAUUGGGCGUAAAGCGCACGUAGGCGGCAUUGCAAGUCGGAUGUGAAAGCCCAUGGCUUAACCAUGGAAGUGCAUCCGAAACUGCAGUGCUUGAGUACUUAAGAGGAUCGCGGAAUUCCCGGUGUAGAGGUGAAAUUCGUAGAUAUCGGGAGGAACACCAGUGGCGAAGGCGGCGAUCUGGGAAGAUACUGACGCUGAGGUGCGAAAGCGUGGGGAGC
rnacentral:rRNA from 1 species